AACGAACGUUGGCGGCAGGCUUAACACAUGCAAGUCGAGGGGUAACAUUGUGCUUGCACAGAUGACGACCGGCGCACGGGUGCGUAACGCGUAUAGAAUCUACCUUACACUGAGGGAUAGCCUUUGGAAACGAAGAUUAAUACCUCAUGGUAUCAUUGAAUGGCAUCAUUUAAUGAUUAAAGGUUACGGUGUAAGAUGACUAUGCGUCCUAUUAGCUAGUUGGUAAGGUAAUGGCUUACCAAGGCGACGAUCUCUAGCUGGUUUGAGAGGAUGAUCAGCCACACUGGGACUGAGACACGGCCCAG
rnacentral:rRNA from 1 species